UACAGAGGUGGCAAGCGUUGUUCGGAAUUACUGGGCGUAAAGCGCACGUAGGCGGCGAUUCAAGUCAGAGGUGAAAGCCCCGGGCUCAACCUGGGAAUGGCGAUGGAUACUGGCGGGCUAGAGUGCGGUAGAGGAGAGUGGAAUUCCCGGUGUAGCAGUGAAAUGCGUAGAGAUCGGGAGGAACAUCAGUUGCGAAGGCGGCUCUCUGGACCAGCACUGACACUGAGGCACGAAAGCGUGGGGAGCAAACAGG
rnacentral:rRNA from 1 species